rnacentral:tRNA from 1 species
GGCCCGUUGGUCAAGCGGUUAAGACUCCGCCCUCUCACGGCGGCAUCGGGAGUUCGAUUCUCCCACGGGUCACCA